rnacentral:pre_miRNA from 1 species
UGAUGGUGAUGAUGACAAUGAUGAUGAUGGUGGUGGUGGUGGUGAUGAUAACUACCACCACCACCACAAUCGCCAUCAUCAUCAUUAUUAUCCUUG